rfam:Dipodomys ordii contig_24041, whole genome shotgun sequence.
GGGAAGGUAGCUCAGUGGUAGAGUGCUUGCCUUGCAUGCAUGAAGCCCUGGGUUCGAUUCCUCAGCACCA